rnacentral:lncRNA from 1 species
CGAGACGAUCAAGCGCAUAUGGGAAUUAGGCCUGCCGGAUCUCUGGCCAGAUCAAACUUCUUUGGAAAAUUAGCAUCUGUAGUGAGAGGGCGCUGUUUCGCAAAUUUAAAUGACCCGGUACAUAUUUUACUGCUUUUAUUUCCGCAUCCGUUUUAGUCCCCGCCUCCCGCUAGUCCCGCUCUACGCGACGCCGCGGCAGCCAUUGCUCAUAUCAAAUAUCGAUUGUCGAUUUGAUUUUUCGCUUGCGAAUUUCCAAAGUAUUUGAGUUGUAUUAGCAAUAUUAUGUGUGUUUAAGUGAUCACUAAUAUCCUAUAUAUUGCGCGAAUUACCCAGAGACCAACAUGGGAACAAGGCCUAUAUUUCGCUCAAGAAAAAUGUUGUAUUGAUAGAUCUAUGGAGGAAAUAACAAAGAUGAGUCCAGAAUUUAGCCAAAAUGCAUAAUUUUCCAAAAAUACUGAAAAACCAAAAAUAUGACAAGAAUCUUUGAAAAUAUAACACAAUGCCUUUUGUAAUUAUGUUGUUUUGUGAUGAUAGUAAAAUUUGGUUGAUAUAAAACUGAAACAUAACUAUUCCUGCUCUAUGAAUGACUCUGUGAUAACGUUACCCAGGAUUUAACUAAUUCAGCAUAAUCAGGUUUCGCUAGACAAGAGAAAUAUAUGACCAUGAAAGUGUAUAGAAGAUAGGCCUGAAAAUAAUAAUAUUCACUGUUAAAAUAAAAUAAAAGUGAUUCAAGUUAUAAAAGAACUAACCAGUGUAGAAAAUUCACUUUCAAAAAGAAAACAUAAAAAUGGUUGUACAGUUAAAGUGGAAUGAACUGAUAUUUUUAUAGAAACAGAACAAAACUACUAAAGGGAAACGAGGUGAAGAGCUGUAUGACAGAUGAAUCCGUCACUUGUCUUGUGGAAAACAUGCUUUUCUUAUGGUUAAGAAGUGGUAUAUCAUCUUCAUGUUCUUUCAUAAUUGAAGCACCAUCAUUGUGUAUCAUGUAGAAAAACUGCCGACAUUCAUAGGAAAUGUCAGUCACAAAAUCUGAAAUAUAGGGUAAAGGAGCCUCACUGCAACUUCUGAUAAGACUAUCAGAGAGGAUAAUAUACAAUCAGAGAGGGUAAAACAUAAAGAACGGACUAUCUGUGAUUUCAAGAUAGUGAAAAUUCACACAAGAAUAUCUAUAUACUUAUUUACCUUAUGAGUCUAUACCCAACAGAAAAAUAAAAGUGCUAGUAGAUAGUGGGAUAAAUUUAAAGGAUAAUAUAAUAUUAACUCAAAAAUUAGGUGAACUAUGUUCUAAAACAAAUUGCAGCACCAUCAGGGUUAACAUAAACAUAUGUCAUCAAACAAAUAUACACUCUUCAGUUUUUAGAGCAACAUGACCAAGAAGCAAUUGUAGGAUAGUAUUGAAAAGGAAUAUGCACUCCUAAGGAAAAUGACAUGGGGAUGGACACAGGAUAAAAAUUUGUCAAUGUAUUGAAAAGUUUUCUUUGGAAGGAGUUUCGGAUGCGGCCACGUUGUUUCGCCGUGCUGAAUGUUUGUGUUUCCACGUGGACCCUAACGUGCGUUAAGCAUAUGGCACGUAAAGCUUUUUCCCUGAUGUCAUGGUUUUUUCAUAUGAAAAAAGGCGGAUAUUCCAUUUUUUACUGUUUUUUUACUGCAACAUUUGUAUCUCAAAUGUUUGUUUUAUUUCCUUGUACCAUUUAUUUAUUAUUAUGUUUAUUUAAAAUUAUCAUUUUAUUGUAACAUAUUUGAAAAUAUUAUUUUUUUAUCUCUUAAUAAAUAAUUUAAUUCUUA